AACAACUUAAUCUGUAAAAAUACAAACUUUCCCUCUCUGUUUCUCAACAUGUGAGUGUUCGUGUUUAGAAAAUGAACGAACCUAGUGAAGUGUAUUUUUGUUUUGACACCAUCAAGAAUUUAUUAAAGUGACAAAAAUUGUUUUGUGAUUUAUAUUUUUUUUUUAUUAAAUAAAGAUCCAAAAAAUAAACAAAUUAUGAUAAGCAUUUCCCUUCAAAUGUUGGUGGAGGAAGAAGAAAGGACUGAAGAAAGAGCUGUUCGAAGGUAUUUAAGGGAUAAUUCCAAUCCUUUGGAGUUACUUGAACCAUUUUUCCAGCAGCAUUAUAGAUUAAACAAACCGGCUUUUAAGCUUCUGCUGGACAUCAUAACAAAUGCAGUACCUCCAACGAAACAGAAAUUUGGUAUUCCCCCCAUUGUCAAGCUCGCCGCUUGUUUGCGAUUUUUUGCAUAGGGUGGAUAUCAGAAAGGAGUGGGUAAAGAUUACAAAAUUGAAAUAGCGCAAAUCACUUUCAGUCUGGUACUGUCCGAAGUUCUCGGAAUACUUGAAGAGACUCUUUGUCCUCAGUGAAUAUCUUGGCCAAUGCCAGAUGAAGAAAUGGAAAUUGCUCAACAUUUUUAUGCAAAAUACAACCUACCAGGUGUUAUUGGAUGUAUUGAUGGAACACAUGUGAACAUCAUUUCACCGGCGGUAUAUAAACAUCUAUUUAACAGGAAAGGGAUCUUGCAGUUUAAUUGUUUUGCUUGUAAGUUAAAAUGAUUAAAACGUAUAUGUACAGGUAUGUGAUAACGCGCUCAGAAUUCGUUUCAUUGAUGCUACGCACCCAGGAGCUUGUCACGAUUCUUUUAUUUGGAAUGUGAGUGACCUUAGAUCAAAAAUGGAAAGUGACUAUUUGCGGGACAUCAAAAAUGUUUGGCUGCUGGGAGAUGCUGGGUAUCCCUUAGAGCCGUGGCUUUUGACACCGUACAGAACACCUGAGAGUGGCUCACCUCAAGCUAAAUUUAAUGAAGUUCAAU